rnacentral:rRNA from 1 species
CGGCAGCACAGAGAAGCUUGCUUCUUGGGUGGCGAGUGGCGAACGGGUGAGUAACAUAUCGGAACGUACCGAGCAGUGGGGGAUAACUAAUCGAAAGAUUAGCUAAUACCGCAUAUUUUCUGAGGAAGAAAGCAGGGGACCAUUUGGCCUUGCGCUGUUUGAGCGGCCGAUAUCUGAUUAGCUAGUUGGUGGGGUAAAGGCCUACCAAGGCGACGAUCAGUAGCGGGUCUGAGAGGAUGAUCCGCCACACUGGGACUGAGACACGGCCCAGACUCCUACGGGAGGCAGCAGUGGGGAAUUUUGGACAAUGGGCGCAAGCCUGAUCCAGCCAUGCCGCGUGUCUGAAGAAGGCCUUCGGGUUGUAAAGGACUUUUGCCAGGGAAGAAAAGGGCGGGUUAAUACCCCUGUCUGAUGACGGUACCUGAAGAAUAAGCACCGGCUAACUACGUGCCAGCAGCCGCGGUAAUACGUUGGGUGCGAGCGUUAAUCGGAAUUACUGGGCGUAAAGCGGGCGCAGACGGUUACUUAAGCAGGAUGUGAAAUCCCCGGGCUCAACCUGGGAACUGCGUUCCUGAACUGGGUGACUAGAGUGUGUCAGAGGGAGGUAGAAUUCCACGUGUAGCAGUGAAAUGCGUAGAGAGGUGG